rnacentral:tRNA from 1 species
GGGGUUGUGGCUCAGUUGGUAGAGUGCUUGCCUAGUAUGUAUGAGGCACUGGGUUUGAUUCUCAGCACCA